rnacentral:rRNA from 1 species
GAAUUCGCCCUUAGAGUUUGAUCCUGGCUCAGGACGAACGCUGGCGGCGCGCCUAACACAUGCAAGUCGAACGAGCGAGAGGAGGUUUACUUUCUCAAGCGAGUGGCGAACGGGUGAGUAACGCGUGAGGAACCUGCCUCAAAGAGGGGGACAACAGUUGGAAACGACUGCUAAUACCGCAUAAGCCCACGGUGCCGCAUGGCACAGAGGGAAAAGGAGCAAUCCGCUUUGAGAUGGCCUCGCGUCCGAUUAGCUAGUUGGUGAGGUAAUGGCCCACCAAGGCGACGAUCGGUAGCCGGACUGAGAGGUUGAACGGCCACAUUGGGACUGAGACACGGCCCAGACUCCUACGGGAGGCAGCAGUGGGGAAUAUUGCACAAUGGGGGAAACCCUGAUGCAGCGACGCCGCGUGGAGGAAGAAGGUCUUCGGAUUGUAAACUCCUGUUGUUGAGGAAGAUAAUGACGGUACUCAACAAGGAAGUGACGGCUAACUACGUGCCUGCAGCCGCGGUAAAACGUAGGUCACAAGCGUUGUCCGGAAUUACUGGGUGUAAAGGGAGCGCAGGCGGGAAGACAAGUUGGAAGUGAAAUCCAUGGGCUCAACCCAUGAACUGCUUUCAAAACUGUUUUUCUUGAGUAGUGCAGAGGUAGGCGGAAUUCCCGGUGUAGCGGUGGAAUGCGUAGAUAUCGGGAGGAACACCAGUGGCGAAGGCGGCCUACUGGGCACCAACUGACGCUGAGGCUCGAAAGUGUGGGUAGCAAACAGGAUUAGAUACCCUGGUAGUCCACACUGUAAACGAUGAUUACUAGGGUGUUGGAGGGAUUGACCCCUUCAGUGCCGCAGUUAACACAAUAAGUAAUCCACCUGGGGAGUACGACCGCAAGGUUGAAACUCAAAGGAAUUGACGGGGGCCCGCACAAGCAGUGGAGUAUGUGGUUUAAUUCGACGCAACGCGAAGAACCUUACCAAGUCUUGACAUCCUGCGACGCACAUAGAAAUAUGUUUUUCCUUCGGGACGCAGAGACAGGUGGUGCAUGGUUGUCGUCAGCUCGUGUCGUGAGAUGUUGGGUUAAGUCCCGCAACGAGCGCAACCCUUAUGGUCAGUUACUACGCAAGAGGACUCUGGCCAGACUGCCGUUGACAAAACGGAGGAAGGUGGGGAUGACGUCAAAUCAUCAUGCCCUUUAUGACUUGGGCUACACACGUACUACAAUGGCGUUAAACAAAGAGAAGCAAGACCGCGAGGUGGAGCAAAACUCAGAAACAACGUCCCAGUUCGGACUGCAGGCUGCAACUCGCCUGCACGAAGUCGGAAUUGCUAGUAAUCGCAGAUCAGCAUGCUGCGGUGAAUACGUUCCCGGGCCUUGCACACACCGCCCGUCA